AUGUGAUUAAUAGAGGGGAU
rnacentral:piRNA from 1 species